rnacentral:rRNA from 1 species
GAUGAACGCUGGCGGCGUGCCUAAUACAUGCAAGUCGAGCGAACAGAUAAGGAGCUUGCUCCUUUGACGUUAGCGGCGGACGGGUGAGUAACACGUGGGUAACCUACCUAUAAGACUGGGAUAACUUCGGGAAACCGGAGCUAAUACCGGAUAACAUUUGGAACCGCAUGGUUCUAAAGUGAAAGAUGGUUUUGCUAUCACUUAUAGAUGGACCCGCGCCGUAUUAGCUAGUUGGUAAGGUAACGGCUUACCAAGGCGACGAUACGUAGCCGACCUGAGAGGGUGAUAGCCCACACUGGAACGGAGACGGGGUCCAGACUCCUACGGGAGGCAGCAGUAGGGAAUCUUCCGCAAUGGGCGAAAGCCUGACGGAGCAGCGCCGCGUGAGUGAUGAAGGGUUUCGGCUCGGAAAACUCUGUUAUUAGGGAAAAACAAAUGUGUAAGUAACUGUGCACGUCUUGACGGUACCUAAUCAGAAAGCCACGGCUAACUACGUG